AGGAUAAACGCUGGCGGCGUGCCUAACACAUGCAAGUCGAACGAGGUAGCAAUACCUAGUGGCAGACGGGUGAGUAACACGUGACCAACCUACCCUAGAGUGGGGGAUAACUAGCCGAAAGGUUAGCUAAUACCGCAUGAAACGUGCUGUGGCAUCACAGAACGUUAAAAGGAGCAAUCCGCUUAAGGACGGGGUCGCGUCCCAUUAGCUAGUUGGUGGGGUAACGGCCUACCAAGGCACCGACGGGUAG
rnacentral:rRNA from 1 species